AAAUUUGCAUGCAAUUAAGAGGGGAAAUAAAACCAACACCUUACUAGAUAAACCACGACCACGCGUAGGAAUUUAAAGAGUCUUUACUCAAGUUAUUGCUGCUUUGAAAAGAUUUAAAGUAAACAUAGUCUGUCAUAAUAGCCACAGACUUUCAAAGAAGAGCCAACAAAAAGGAAAUACGGUGUUCCAAGCGAUAAAAAUGAAGAGUUUAGCUGUUGUCGUUCUUUUCUUACUGGCAGUCGCCAUGACGAGCCCAGUGAAAAAAAGGGGAUUCAGAAUCCAUGGACCAGCAUACGGAAAGAAAUUCUGCGACUCCCCAGGAUGUACAUGUUCUUACAGCGAAAAUCCUUGUCCUUUGAACCAUCACGAUUGCAGAAAAACAAGAUUUUGCAUGUUAGCUACGAACAAACCUUGUUGUAAUCGAUAAAAACCACAAGGAAAUUCAUGGUUGGAAUUAAUUAAGCUUGAUUUUGUAACGCUUUGCAUCAUGGGUGAAUAAAUAAUUAAAUAUUUUUGAAGUACGUA